UACGGAGGGUGCAAACGUUGCUCGGAAUUAUUGGGCGUAAAGCGCACGUAGGCGGUCUUUUAAGUCGGAUGUGAAAGCCCCGGGCUCAACCCGGGAAGUGCAUUCGAAACUGGAAGGCUAGAGUACAGAAGAGGGUCUCGGAAUUCCCGGUGUAGAGGUGAAAUUCGUAGAUAUCGGGAGGAACACCAGUGGCGAAGGCGGAGACCUGGGCUGAUACUGACGCUGAGGUGCGAAAGCGUGGGGAGCAAACAGG
rnacentral:rRNA from 1 species